UACGUAGGAGGCAAGCGUUGUCCGGAAUUACUGGGCGUAAAGCGCGUGUAGGUGGUGGGACAAGUCUGCUGUGAAAGCGCCUGGCUUAACCGGGCGAGGUCGGCGGAAACUGUCCGACUCGAGGACGGUAGAGGGGGGGUGGAAUUCCCGGUGUAGUGGUGAAAUGCGUAGAGAUCGGGAGGAACACCUGUGGCGAAGGCGGCCCCCCUGGGCCGGCCCUGACACUGAGACGCGAAGGCGUGGGGGAGCGAACGGG
rnacentral:rRNA from 1 species